AACGCUGGCGGCUGCCUAAUACAUGCAAGUAGAACGCUGAAGAGAGGAGCUUGCUCUUCUUGGAUGAGUUGCGAACGGGUGAGUAACGCGUACGUAACCUGCCUUGUAGCGGGGGAUAACUAUUGAAAACGAUAGCUAAUACCGCAUAACAAUGGGUGACACAUGUCAUUUAUUUGAAAGGGGCAAUUGCUCCACUACAAGAUGGACCUGCGUUGUAUUAGCUAGUAGGUGAGGUAACGGCUCACCUAGGCGACGGUACAUAGCCGACCUGAGAGGGUGAUCGGCCACACUGGGACUGAGACACGGCCCAGACUCCUACGGGAGGCAGCAGUAGGGAAUCUUCGGCAAUGGGGGCAACCCUGACCGAGCAACGCCGCGUGAGUGAAGAAGGUUUUCGGAUCGUAAAGCUCUGUUGUAAGUCAAGAACGAGUGUGAGAGUGGAAAGUUCACACUGUGACGGUAGCUUACCAGAAAGGGACGGCUAACUACGUGCCAGCAGCCGCGGUAAUACGUAGGUCCCGAGCGUUGUCCGGAUUUAUUGGGCGUAAAGCGAGCGCAGGCGGUUUGAUAAGUCUGAAGUUAAAGGCUGCGGCUCAACCAUAGUUCGCUUUGGAAACUGUCAAACUUGAGUGCAGAAGGGGAGAGUGGAAUUCCAUGUGUAGCGGUGAAAUGCGUAGAUAUAUGGAGGAACACCGGUGGCGAAAGCGGCUCUCUGGUCUGUAACUGACGCUGAGGCUCGAAAGCGUGGGGAGCGAACAGGAUUAGAUACCCUGGUAGUCCACGCCGUAAACGAUGAGUGCUAGGUGUUGGAUCCUUUCNCGGGAUUCAGUGCCGCAGCUAACGCAUUAAGCACUCCGCCUGGGAGUACGA
rnacentral:rRNA from 1 species